rnacentral:rRNA from 1 species
AACGAACGCUGGCGGCAUGCCUAACACAUGCGAGUCGAACGAGACCUUCGGGUCUAGUGGCGCACGGGUGCGUAACGCGUGGGAACCUGCCCUUAGGUUCGGAAUAACUCCCCGAAAGGGGUGCUAAUACCGGAUAAUGUCUUCAGACCAAAGAUUUAUCGCCUUUGGAUGGGCCCGCGUUGGAUUAGCUAGUUGGUAGGGUAAAAGCCUACCAAGGCGACGAUCCAUAGCUGGUCUGAGAGGAUGAUCAGCCACACUGGGACUGAGACACGGCCCAGACUCCUACGGGAGGCAGCAGUGGGGAAUAUUGGACAAUGGGCGAAAGCCUGAUCCAGCAAUGCCGCGUGAGUGAUGAAGGCCUUAGGGUUGUAAAGCUCUUUUACCCGGGAUGAUAAUGACAGUACCGGGAGAAUAAGCUCCGGCUAACUCCGUG